CAUUCGUCUAGCGGCCCAGGACAUCGGCCUCUCAAACCGGAAACACGGGUUCGAUCCCCGUAUGGGCCA
rnacentral:tRNA from 1 species